GCCAGGGUGGCGUAUUGGUUAGCGCAUUUGCUUAGUGAGCAAGAGACCCAGGUUCGAAUCAUGGUCUUGGUA